rnacentral:tRNA from 1 species
CAAGAAGUAGCUUACACCAAAGCACUCAACUUACAACUGAGAUACGCUCACCAGCCAUGAGCCUUCCUGA